UGCAGUCGAUUCGAUUUACCUUCGGGUAUUGAGGAUGGCGGACGGGUGAGUAACGCGUAAGGAACUUGCCUCUUGGACUGGGACAACUGUUGGAAACGACAGCUAAUACCGGAUAUUAUGAGAUUCUCGCAUGAGAAACUUAUGAAAGCUAUAUGCGCCAAGAGAGAGCCUUGCGUUCCUUAGCUAGUUGGUGGGGUAAUGGCCCACCAAGGCGACGAUGGAUAGCCGGCCUGAGAGGGUGAACGGCCACAAGGGGACUGAGACCGGCCUUUACUCCUACGGGAGGCAGCAGUGGGGAAUAUUGACAAUGGGCCACAAGCCUGAUCCACAAUUCUGUGUGCACAUGAAGGUCUUCGGAUUGUAAAGUGCUUUCAGUUGGAAAGAAGAAAGUGA
rnacentral:rRNA from 1 species